GUUUAGUUAUGAUUUGUCAAUAUUUAAAAGUCAGUAUUCUGAAAACUAUCAAAAUAGCAAAUGCCGAACGUACUACGCUAGCCAACAUCAUUUCGCUCCGUGUAUCAACGACCAAUUCAAAACACGCUCCAACAAAAAGGCCUUAAGCAAAGCGACGACGCAAAAUCAAGGCAACGCCGUAAUGCAAAAGAUCACUCACACAGCGAUACAAUUGAUAGCAGUAGAGCACAGUCAUCCGGUUUGGUCUCGUCAUCGUCAUUCGUAGCCGUCCGUUCGAUCGCGGUAGAAGCGACCACGCGAGUGCAGAAAAAGCAAAGUUUAAUCCCAUCGGGAGAAAACUUCCAAGAGGAAAUAAUCACACGAUCUAUAUUUAGAUACGUGCCUAAAGGACGACGAAACGAACCAGCAGAUUAGCCAGCCAGCACCACGUUUAAGCUAACCUCAAAAGGUUCGCUUGGCCGAAUACUCACUCUCCGAACGACUGGAAUUACGGUUUACGGAGGUCAGGAGUCACUCUACACGACGAUUUGCCAUCCGCCACGAGCCACGUUGAUCCACCACACACGAUAGUGGAAUCGCAGGGAGGACGUCAUCUUUCCAUCUGCACCAUAAGGAUUUGGGCAGAGCACGAGGCCUUCCGAAGGAAGGCCUUUUUUUUUAUUCGCAGACUGGUCUUCUUCUGCGGACCUUGCAGUUUCCCCUUUUCUGGGUAGAAGUGGCAACUUUCGUCGCACCGAGGAUCCAGUGAGCGGAAUCGAUUGGUAAGACGAAGACACAGUAGACACGAGAGAGGCUCUCCAACAGGAUCGACAAAGUGGACAUCGUGGACCAAAAGGUGUGCAGACAAACGGCCAAUACGGCAGGAGACGCAUCAAGCGGAAAUCAUUCCGAACACUGCUGGUGUCGGUCGACAAUCGGAAGUGAAGGAGAACCGAGAACAACCCCGUGAGCGGUCGAAAAGUCUAAUAGCUGGUUGGAAGCGGUCAGGAUGAGCGAGGAUUGGUCAUCUGAUGAACCGGGCGUUGGCAAGGAGCAGCAUGGGGGACGCCCCAAGAAGAUAAGUGCUAGUUUAUAAGGAAAACCUUGGCUUUAGCCAGCAUAAUGAUUAGCUCCUAAGAAGAUUCGGUCACUAUUCAGGGAUAAAACCCAAAUAUAUGUAUUAAACUGCGA